AAAAAGACAAACCCUGGUUUCCGUGCCCAAUGUUUGACCGUCCGUCUUAUUUGAAAAAUUAAUGAAAAAAAUUAAAAGACAAGACACGCAUAAAAUAUUAAUCAUGUUUUAUCAUCUAACAACAAUGAAAAUACGAAUUAUAAAAAAAUUUCAUAUAAGACGAACAGUCAAAGUUGGACACGGAAACCCAGGGUUUGCCUUUUU
rnacentral:pre_miRNA from 1 species